GUACAAGGUAUGCGCCGAUUUCUCGGUAU
rnacentral:sRNA from 1 species